AUAUCAAUAAGAAACAGUAAAUAAUCAGCACUGCAUGAAUCUCACAGCUCAGCACCAAAGAAUAGAGCACAAAAAUAAAGUUCUUGUUUAAAAGCUGCUACAAUAUACAAAUAUUACAUCUUGAUUAUAAUUUUAUUCUUAUUUCCCUGGGGCUGUCUUAUGAUGAUGUAUCCUAUUGACUUUGUCUAAAAUAUCAGAAGUUCAGACUUUAUUUCUGAAGAGUUCUUCUGACACUAAAAUUUUAUUUAACCUGAGAUAAAGAAAGAAGUACUAGUAGGCUUUAUAAAGUUGGGUUUGCCACUUUCCAAGUUUUUGUAUUUUUAGUAGAUACCGGGUUUCGCCAUGUAGGUCAGGUCUUGAACUCCUGACCUUAGGUUAUCUGCCCCCUCGGCCUCCCGAAGUGCUGGGAUUACAGGCAUGAGCCACCGCGCCCAGCUGGAGCUGUAUUUUACAAAGUGUCAGUGUCUCAAAACCU
rnacentral:lncRNA from 1 species